rfam:Rattus norvegicus chromosome 12, whole genome shotgun sequence.
GGGGAUUUAGCUCAGUGGUAGAGCGCUUGCCUAGCAAGCACAAGGCCCUGGGUUCAGUCUCCA